rnacentral:lncRNA from 1 species
GUCUAGAGCUGUGGGCAGCUUCUUUUUGAGGGGGAGUUUUGUUGCCAUCUACACCUAAGCCUCACUUCUGAGAAGCCGGGAGUAUAUGUGUUCCUAAAUCCCCAGGUUUUUCUGAGGCUCCCUCCUAAAUGAGAACCAAUGACCUUGGAAUGUCUCUGCUGCCAAUCUCCCGUGUGAACCUUGGGAUGUGGUAAACUGAUUGUUGGAGAUAUUGGGCUUUGAAAUCCUGAAGAAUAUCUUCUAUCUCAUUAAGACUAACAUUUGGUACAGUGAAGCCUGUUAAAGGAAUUUUAGAGAAUGAGUCUGUUUGGUGCUUUGGCAUUGAAAGAAGCUGAGGUGGUAAUAAGUUAAAACGACAUGCUCAGCUGAAGGCUUGAGAGGCAUGUGAGCUCAGUAGGAUGUGGUCUCAAGUUCAGUGAAGAGUUCAGGCACAUCUAGGUACCAAACUUCAGGUGUAGUUGGACCCGAGACCCAAGUCACACAUGGAAAUUCAGUGGAAAAUGACAAUGGAGAGGCUUGAAACUAUGAGGGAUGGAAAUUUUUCUAGGAGGUGCUUCUGGCUCUAUUCUGGAGUAGAAGAGUUGGGACUCUCAACAGCAUCAACACAAGAUUGUUGAGGAUUUGUGAUGUUUCAUAAAUUAGAGAAAUAAAAACAGAAGAACUGGAGACUGGGAUUGCAUGAGGUACAAGGACGUGGACUUUGUUGGAGAGUUGCCUGUUACAAAUGUGAGAGAAGGCUGCUCUUUUCUUGGUGCACUUCGCCUGGAGUCGGUGCUUGUUUGCCUCUUCCUGCCAUCUAGGGCCUAAGAUCUUGAGGGCUGUGAUUAGGAUGCAAGACUAGGGAAAAGGUAAGCAAGAGGUUCCUCAGCCUCCUUUUCGCCUCGGGUAUCUAGGUAAAGUCACUCACGGCUCUUUCCAGAUGGUGCACACCAGCUCAGAGGCAGAGACCCCAUGCAAAGUUCUCGUGGCCUAAAUCUUUUAGAAAGAAUUCGUAUUUACUUCCUUGGAGAAUCCCCUUGGAAUAUCUUCUUUGUGAACUUGAGGCAACUUUUGGUGACUGCUCGAAGACUUGGGGAUCUUGAUCUGGAGCCAUCUCUAUUUACCGACUUUCUACUUCCGUGUCAUUUUGCAGCCAGAUUUUAAAUAAGUU